rnacentral:rRNA from 1 species
UGGGGAAUAUUGGACAAUGGGCGAAAGCCUGAUCCAGCAAUGCCGCGUGAGUGAUGAAGGCCUUAGGGUUGUAAAGCUCUUUCACCCACGACGAUGAUGACGGUAGUGGGAGAAGAAGCCCCGGCUAACUUCGUGCCAGCAGCCGCGGUAAUACGAAGGGGGCUAGCGUUGUUCGGAUUUACUGGGCGUAAAGGGCGCGUAGGCGGCCCGUUUAGUCAGGUGUGAAAGCCCUGGGCUCAACCCGGGAAAUGCACUUGAUACUGACGGGCUUGAGGAUGGGAGAGGAUGGUGGAAUUCCCAGUGUAGAGGUGAAAUUCGUAGAUAUUGGGAAGAACACCGGUGGCGAAGGCGGCCAUCUGGACCAUUUCUGACGCUGAGGCGCGAAAGCGUGGGGAGCAAACAGG